rnacentral:rRNA from 1 species
CUGCUGCCUCCCGUAGGAGUCUGGGCCGUGUCUCAGUCCCAAUGUGGCCGGCCAACCUCUCAGUCCGGCUACUGAUCGUCGCCUUGGUGGGCCGUUGCCCCACCAACUAGCUAAUCAGACGCGAGUCCAUCUCAGAGCGAUAAAUCUUUGAUGUCCAGAGCCAUGCGGUUCAGACAUAUUAUGCGGUAUUAGCAGCUGUUUCCAGCUGUUAUUCCCCACUCCAAGGCAGGUU